rnacentral:tRNA from 3 species
GGGCCUCUAGCUCAUGCCUGGUUAGAGCAGCGGACUCAUAAUCCGUUGGUGCUCGGUUCGACUCCGAGGGGGCCUACCA